GUGCUCACUUUGGCAGCACAUAUACUAAAAUUGGAAUGAUGCAGAGAAGAUAAACGUGGACCCUGCACAAGAGGAACAUGCAAAUUCAUGAAGUCCAGCCUAUUUAA
ensembl:snRNA U6 U6 spliceosomal RNA